UACAGGGCACGCGCAACUUUGGGGGUUACAUGCAGACCACUAGGCGCACACCGGCAAGAGUUUUGGGCCAGUGGUUCUUGGUGCCCUCACUGAUACUGUCCCCCAACGACACACCUCCACCCCCCUGGACAUUGAGGGAGGUCCGGCGUACUCUGUCAGAUCCUUAUUGAACUCUGAACGUCGUGGGGGGUCGGCUCCAGUAUCUGGUGAAACUGGGAGGGAUAUGGCCCAGAGGAGCGGUGUUGGGUUCCGGUGGAGGACAUUCUGGAACCCAACCUCAUCUGUGAUUUCCACCUUCACCGCCGGGACUGACCCACUCCUCGUCCUCGGGGUUGUCCCUUUGGUCGGCGUCGUCAGAGGGGGGGGUACUGUCAUAUCCUUUCCUGCUCCUCCCCUCCGGCGUACGACGUCACCAGAAUACUCACCACCGGUCCUGGGAUUCAUCAUUACGCACACAUGGCACUCAUCAUUACGUGCAUGAAUCCCAGGACCGGUGGUGAGUAUUCUGGCGACGUCGUACGCCGGAGGGGAGGAGCAGGAAAGGAUAUGACAGAAGGGAGACAUGAAAAGAGGGUGAGAUACGAUAGUGUUUGGGUAGUUGUAACCUGUACGUCACCUCAUUGAAGGUUGCAAGUUCAAACCCCUGACAAGGUACAAAUCUGUCGUUCUGCCCCUGGACAGGCAGUUAACCCACUGUUCCUAGGCCAUCAUUGAGAAUAAGAAUUUGUUCUUAACUGACUUGCCUAGUUAAAUAAAGGUUAAACAUUUUUUUUUAAAUCAUUAUGAUUCACACCUGGACUUCAUUACCUUCAUAAUGUCCUCCCCUUUAUAUGUCUCUUAUGUUUUCUCAGCAGUUGGUAUUAUCCUUGUGUACCGGCAUUUAGCCACAUGCAUUUGUCUCACUCCUGGUUUUGUUGUUUUAUUAAAUGUUUCACCUGGACCUGCU